rnacentral:rRNA from 1 species
GAUGAACGCUGGCGGCGUGCUUAACACAUGCAAGUCGAACGGAAAGGCCCUGCUUUUGUGGGGUGCUCGAGUGGCGAACGGGUGAGUAACACGUGAGUAACCUGCCCUUGACUUUGGGAUAACUUCAGGAAACUGGGGCUAAUACCGGAUAGGAGCUCCUGCUGCAUGGUGGGGGUUGGAAAGUUUCGGCGGUUGGGGAUGGACUCGCGGCUUAUCAGCUUGUUGGUGGGGUAGUGGCUUACCAGGGCUUUGACGGGUAGCCGGCCUGAGAGGGUGACCGGCCACAUUGGGACUGAGAUACGGCCCAGACUCCUACGGGAGGCAGCAGUGGGGAAUAUUGCACAAUGGGCGGAAGCCUGAUGCAGCAACGCCGCGUGCGGGAUGACGGCCUUCGGGUUGUAAACCGCUUUCGCCUGUGACGAAGCGUGAGUGACGGUAAUGGGUAAAGAAGCACCGGCUAACUACGUG